GGAUUUAUACUUUAUGAACUUUGGAAAUAUAAAAUCUAGUGAGCAAUACUAAGUAAUGAAAAAGAGAAGCUAAUAAGACAACUUAAAAUAUUAAAAAAAACCACAAAUGGACAAGUUUUACUAAAGUCUUAUCUUUUAAUUAAUUUUAGUGUUAGGUAUAUUAUGUACCUUAAAAUGGGGAAUGAAGCAUUUUAUGAAUAAUGUAAAAAAUAAGACAAGUGGAGUAUGAAAUAAUGGUUGGUUAAGUAACAUGACCUCAUGAACAGGAAACAGUAACUGAAACUAUGUUCUUCCACAUUUAAUCUUAAUAAGUUCAGCAGUUUGAAUGUCAAUGAGAUAUUAUUAUAAACAAACUGGAUUUGUAGAUUUUGGGAAGAAUUAUAUCUUUAAAAUACCUAAC